AUAUCACUCCCUCCGUCCCAAAAUUCUUGUCUUAGAUUUGUUUAGAUAUGAAUGUAUCUAGUCAAGUUUUAGUAUUUAGAUACAUCCAUUUCUAGACAAAGUUAAGACAAGAAUUUUGGGACGGAGGGAGUAUCAU
rnacentral:pre_miRNA from 1 species